rnacentral:rRNA from 1 species
UACAGAGGGUGCAAGCGUUAAUCGGAAUGACUGGGCGUAAAGCGUGUGUAGGUGGUUGGAUAAGUUAGAUGUGAAAUCCCUGGGCUUAACCUGGGCACUGCGUUUAAGACUGUUUAACUAGAGUACUGUAGAGGAUAGUGGAAUUUCCAGUGUAGCGGUGAAAUGCGUAGAUAUUGGAAGGAACACCAGUGGCGAAGGCGACUAUCUGGAUAGAUACUGACACUGAGACACGAAAGCGUGGGGAGCAAACAGG